rfam:Glycine soja cultivar W05 scaffold5083_16, whole genome shotgun sequence.
UUACAAAGAAAUGUUGACAGUCACGUGUCACAUUCUGAUUGGACAUCGAUUCUAUGGACGAUGAAAUGCAUUGUUAUUGUCAUUGACCAAUCAGAACAUGACAUGUGACAGUUAUCGUCC